rnacentral:misc_RNA from 1 species
GCGACCGAGAGGUCGCUCCCCUCAAAUGCAUCGGUUGGGCCUGUGGGUUCGAACUCGAUUGGGCGUUGUACCAUCCUCGCUCUCUACAACGAGUUCGUCCCGCUGCUUGUGCCCCUCCACGACCGCCUGCGGAGUGGCGGUCAAAUGCAAACUUUUUGAAAUCUGACCUCAAAUCAGGUAGGACUACCCGCUGAACUUAA